rnacentral:rRNA from 1 species
GAGUUUGAUCGUGGCUCAGAUUGAACGCUGGCGGCAGGCCUAACACAUGCAAGUCGAGCGGAUGAAGGGAGCUUGCUCCUGGAUUCAGCGGCGGACGGGUGAGUAAUGCCUAGGAAUCUGCCUGGUAGUGGGGAUAACGUCCGGAAACGGGCGCUAAUACCGCAUACGUCCUGAGGGGAGAAAGUGGGGGAUCUUCGGACCUCACGCUAUCAGAUGAGCCUAGGUCGGAUUAGCUAGUUGGUGGGGUAAAGGCCUACCAAGGCGACGAUCCGUAACUGGUCUGAGAGGAUGAUCAGUCACACUGGAACUGAGACACGGUCCAGACUCCUACGGGAGGCAGCAGUGGGGAAUAUUGGACAAUGGGCGAAAGCCUGAUCCAGCCAUGCCGCGUGUGUGAAGAAGGUCUUCGGAUUGUAAAGCACUUUAAGUUGGGUAGGAAGGGCAGUAAGUUAAUACCUUGCUGUUUUGACGUUACCAACAGAAUAAGCACCGGCUAACUUCGUGCCAGCAGCCGCGGU